rnacentral:rRNA from 1 species
GUGGGGAAUUUUGGACAAUGGGCGCAAGCCUGAUCCAGCAAUGCCGCGUGCAGGAAGAAGGCCUUCGGGUUGUAAACUGCUUUUGUACGGAACGAAACGGUCCUGGUUAAUACCUGGGGCUAAUGACGGUACCGUAAGAAUAAGCACCGGCUAACUACGUGCCAGCAGCCGCGGUAAUACGUAGGGUGCGAGCGUUAAUCGGAAUUACUGGGCGUAAAGCGUGCGCAGGCGGUGCUGUAAGACAGGCGUGAAAUCCCCGGGCUCAACCUGGGAAUUGCGCUUGUGACUGCAGUGCUGGAGUACGGCAGAGGGGGAUGGAAUUCCGCGUGUAGCAGUGAAAUGCGUAGAUAAGCGGAGGAACACCGAUGGCGAAGGCAAUCCCCUGGGCCUGCACUGACGCUCAUGCACGAAAGCGUGGGGAGCAAACAGGAUUAGAUACCCGUGUAGUCC